rnacentral:rRNA from 1 species
UACGGAGGAGGCAAGCGUUAUCCGGAAUGAUUGGGCGUAAAGGGUCCGCAGGUGGCAGUGUAAGUCUGCUGUCAAAGAAUGAGGCUUAACCUCAUCAAGGCAGUGGGAACUACACAGCUAGAGUACGGUCGGGGUAGAAGGAAUUCCUGGUGUAGCGGUGAAAUGCGUAGAGAUCAGGAAGAACACCGGUGGCGAAAGCGUUCUGCUAGACCUGUACUGACACUGAGGGACGAAAGCUAGGGGAGCGAAUGGG